GACGUAGGGGGCCAGCGUUGUUCGGAAUUACUGGGUGUAAAGGGUUCGUAGGCGGUGCGGCAAGUUGGGAGUGAAAUCUCUGGGCUUAACCCAGAGGCUGCUUCCAAAACUGCUGUGCUUGAGUGUGGGAGAGGCGCGUGGAAUUGCAGGUGUAGCGGUGAAAUGCGUUGAUAUCGGAAGGAACUCCGGCGGCGAAAGCGAUGCACUGGCUGAUUUCUGACGCUGAGGUGCGAAAGCCAGGGGAGCAAACGGG
rnacentral:rRNA from 1 species